GCUCCGGUCGUCUAGCCCGGUCAAGGAUCGCGGCCUCUCGAGCCGCAAACGCGGGUUCAAAUCCCGCCCGGAGCACCA
rnacentral:tRNA from 1 species